CACCAAUCUGGGAAAAUCUUUUUUCUUAAUGGACCUUUGCAGGUGUAGCAGUGCUGCCAUGUAGCUUGCAACACUAGAGUGUGCUGUCGUGACCAUGUUGGCUAGUGUGACUGUUCAUGGUGUUAAACAGGCACAGAGACUAUUUUAAGAGCAUUUAUGUAGGAGAGACUGUGUGAAUGCUUUGUUUCAAACAAUGGCAGGGAGGUUAUCCAGAUGUCAUUACUGGUGGCUUGCAAUAAAAUGCUGAAACACA